CACAAUAAACAUAUGAAGGCUGCACCGCAACAGGCUGGCAGGCUGGAAGUAUUUUAUUACCCUGUCUUUUGCGCACUUGUUGUUUCCCUGGGCGGGUUCGCCCGCCCUCAGGACCCACAUGAUAAACCUUUUUUAUGCAGUUGCAAUCAGCGUCAGUACAAUCAAAUGUAAAUUCAUUA
rnacentral:misc_RNA from 1 species